GGUUUGUUUUUUCUCAUGGCAGCCUGCACUCAAGGUUGUUGACAUGGAGCAACAUCUCCACCUGGUGCAUAUUUACCAUUAAUGCAGGUACAAUAAAAUU